rnacentral:rRNA from 1 species
UACAGAGGUCUCAAGCGUUGUUCGGAUUCAUUGGGCGUAAAGGGUGCGUAGGCGGCGCGGUAAGUCGGGUGUGAAAUUUCGAGGCUUAACUUCGAAACUGCAUUCGAUACUGCCGUGCUAGAGGACUGGAGAGGAGACUGGAAUUUACGGUGUAGCGGUGAAAUGCGUAGAUAUCGUAAGGAAGACCAGUGGCGAAGGCGGGUCUCUGGACAGUUCCUGACGCUGAGGCACGAAGGCCAGGGGAGCGAACGGG